CAUGUCUAUUCCAGCUGGUAACGGCGCAACCGGUGCCUCCGGCACUGGUCCCGUCUUGGGCAUUGUCUCUAUCGAGCGAGACAGAGAGAAGGAGAACGACGAGAGAAAGAGAACGCACUCUGGAAAUCCAUCGGUAAGUCAUGGCACCAGUAAACUUGAACUUACCGUCACAUGUCGCCAGAGGAUUGUUCUUCGCCCUUUGUCGCAACAAUGGUGUUCGCCGUGGCCCGUUCCACAACUAUGGCCGCCGUGGCCAGCGGCGCAGCGUUUUCGAGUGCCUUGGGCCUCGUAUCCGCCGCAACGCUGGCAAUGGAGGUCGUCGCUUUGGCCGUUUCUUUGACUCUGCUGUUAGCGGCGUCCGCCGGCAAUGGAGUCCGAUCCGUAGUGGCGGCCAUGCUUCUCCACGGAUUGUUCGUCUGCAGAGCCAGCCUCCGUCCCCUCGCCUAGGCAAGGACGGCGCUGGUCCAAGCAAUGUUGCGCCAGCAGUGGUUGAAGCCCCGGCACCACCAGUCGUUGAAGCCCCGGCGCCGCCCGUUGACGAAGUGGUGGCAGAGACUGUCGCUGUGCCCGCCUACGCUCCCAUGGAGGAACCGAUGUCUCCGACACCAGCACCGCCACGCUACUGGUGUGAUUUCUGCAAGGAAUUCACGCUGAUGCCGCACCGUCGCCCACACCAGCCUCUCCGACUCCAGUGGCGGCAAGGACGGGCGUUCCCCCGCUCGAUCCAUGGUUCCUGAACACUCAGGUUGCACCCGCGCUCGACGCUGUGUAGAUUGAAGAAGAGGAUGCAGUCGUGUCCGGCCCUGGAAUCAGCAUACUUAUCAACCCUGGUGGCACGCGAGCGGCAAGGACCGGCGUACCACCGUACUACAUCGCCGGCUCCUCGGUUCCUCCGGCGGCAGAGGCACCGGCUUCUCCGCCCAAGACACGCGCCGAGGCUGCAGCGCGCAUGAAGGCUCAAGCCCUCCCGAGUCCUCCGGCCGAAGCCCUGCCAACCUCGAUGCUCCGGCGCCUCCUCGGUCGCAAGACGGCGGCAGUGGACCGGCGCCCCGGACUCCGCCGCACCGGUGCCUGGAACCCGACGGAUCUUGGCCUCCCGAGCGCGGAAGUUCUCAACAUGGCCGUCGGCGGCAGCGGCUUCUACUCUCCCGAUGAGGGGGAGUCCUCCUCCAACUGAAUCAGGCGAGCAGCGGCUGCACAGUGGUGAACGGCGGCGGGGUGGUCAAGUGGCGGCGGCGGUUUCCUGGUAUGCAGCGGCGUGGAGUAGCGUUGCUGUCCGUACUGGUUGCUGAUGCCUCUGUAGGCCGUGAAUAUGGCCCAAAAUACCUGCGCCUUGAUCUCCCUUCCUGCUGUUCGUCCUGUGCACGCCUGAUGGACCAAACAAAUGAACGUGGAUUCAUUUCCAAUUCCCAUGGCUGGCUGGCCUAUUAUCUUUAUUAUUUAGUUGAUUUAAUUUCAGCAUUAAUUCGCAUAAGACUCUGUUAGUCUCCAGUAAUUAUGUGCUGUAAAAUAUUACUGAUUAUGCUUAGUCGUUGACUUGAGCAAUUUAUUGUACUUGUGAUAUUUUAUCAUUGUAAAUAUCCAUUUGUGGUAUUGUUCAUAGUAUUUGUCCUGGUAUGAAUGGCAAAUCCAAUAAAUAAUACCCCUCAUAUUACAACUACGAUCUUGCAAUUUAUUUAUUAUUAAUUUA